GACGAACGCUGGCGGCAUGCCUAAUACAUGCAAGUCGAGCGAACAGAUGAAGUGCUUGCACUUCUGACGUUAGCGGCGAACGGGUGAGUAACACGUAAGGAAUCUACCUAUAAGCGGGGGAUAACAUUCGGAAACGGGUGCUAAUACCGCAUAAUAUCUUCUUCCGCAUGGAAGGAGAUUGAAAGACGGCUCUGCUGUCACUUAUAGAUGACCUUGCGGUGCAUUAGUUAGUUGGUGGGGUAACGGCCUACCAAGACGAUGAUGCAUAGCCGACCUGAGAGGGUGAUCGGCCACAUGGGGACUGAGACACGGCCCAAACUACUACGGGAGGCAGCAGUAGGGAAUCUUCCGCAAUGGGCGAAAGCCUGACGGAGCAAUGCCGCGUGAGUGAAGAAGGCCUUCGGGUCGUAAAACUCUGUUAUAAGGGAAGAACAAAUUGUAGAGUAACUGCUACAGUCUUGACGGUAUCUUAUCAGAAAGCCACGGCUAACUACGUGCCAGCCGCCGCCGUAA
rnacentral:rRNA from 1 species